AGCCCCACAGGUGCUGCUGCUCAGCAUCAACCCCACCCCACAAAGCACAGGUGGCACUGAGGGGCACUGCUGCUCUCCCUUAUUUAUAGCCAUGCAGGGGGUGGGUCUUUGUAGUGCUCUCGCUGGGUGUAGAGUUCACUGUGCAACUGUAGAAAGGGUUCCGCAUGAAGGCAGAGUGGAAAACCCUAACAAAGAACUGGACAGGAGCUGCUCUGCUGAGAAACCUGGCGAGGUGUUGCAAGACUGAGCGUAAGGAGUGCAGAACACAGUAGUUUGCUACAACUCUCCUCAAUGAUAGAGGCUUCAGUUAUGAAUGCUGUACCACAGAGGAAGGGUAUUUCUUGGAACAGGAAAACUUAGCUAGAAGACGGUGUACAUUACAGGGGAGAAUGGAGUUUCAGGAAGAAUUCACCAGGCUUUUCAGAUUCCAGGAAGAACCUGACGUGGCAGAACAAAUGGUUUGCAAGAAGGAAAUGUUUCAUGUAGACAUAGAAGAAUAACUUCGUGACCCCAUGGGGUUAUCUUCUGAGCAGACAGACAUGCAGGAUGAUGACAAAGAGCCUUUCGAUCUCCCUGCCCACAGGAUGCUUGGAAGGGACCUCUUCCCUCUCACCAGAGAGCAAUGUGGACUGCCAGACCCAGUGUCUCAUAGACUGCAGGCAGGGACAUUACUACACAGCUGGCAACUGCUUGGAAUGUCCAACGGGCUUCUAUUGCCCUGGGGGUCAAAAAGCUCCAAGGAAAUGCCCACUGGGAACAGCCAAUGAACUUACAGCUCAAGUGGACAUCACAGCCUGCCAGGUCUGUCCCAAAGGCUAUCUCAGCCUAGAGAGUGGAGCUGGAUGUCGUGCAUGCCCGGAUGGCUAUUCCUGUGAUCCACGUAAUGGUGUGCAGAGGAGCUGUAAUCCUGGCCAGUAUUCUCCAGAGGGAGAGUUGGAGUGCCUGGAAUGCCCAGAGAGCCAUGUCUGCCCAGAUGGACGGAGCAGCACUGUUUGGCUGGGCAGGAGCCGGAUCCAAGCCGCACUCGUUGCGUUACCUAUGCCCGUGGUUCUGUCUCAGCUGAAGGCACACUGAUAUGCCAGCCCUGUCCAGCAGGUCACUUCUGUGCUGACAGCCUUACAGGCACUCCUCCAUGCCCAGCAGGGAGCUUCAAGCCCAAAGAGGGGAUUCUCAUGCCCAGCAGCAGCUCUUCGUUCUUACCCGGAAAUGGAUUGUGUUUGAAGUGCCCUGCUGGGUAUUUCUGUCCUGCUGGAGCAAGUCACCCAGCACCAUGCCAACCAGGUACAUACAAUCCUCUCCAAGGACAGGAUGAAGCCACUGACUGCAGAGCCUGCCCAGCAGGAAGAGCUUGCACCCAGGCUGGAUUAGCCCAGCCUGACUCUGAGUGCUUACCGGGGUACGUGUGCCCAGUGGGCUCAUCCAGCCCUCAUUUUCCCAGCAAUGCCUGUCCUCCAGGAACAGUUGGCAAUGGCUUUGACCUCUUUGAUAAGUCCCAGUGUGAGACGUGUCCUGCUGGAUAUUUCUGUGUUAGAGGUAUGUGGUUUUAUGGCAGAGUAAAUGCUGUUCUUUGGUACCUUGUACUGUGCAUCCCUAAGUUAAUGAUGAGAGCAGGUCAGUGAGCUAUCAGUGAUGUAGAAGGGGGAAAAGGUGUCAGUGUAGGGUUAGGUAUUACUGCAGAGACUGCUGUACCUUCUGGACAGGUUGGGUUUAAUUCUAGUCUGAUGUUUUCCCUUGAUCCUAUGGUUAUUGUUUGAACUUAAUGACAUAGAAGCAGCCAUUUUUAUUACAGUAUCCAAAUGUUUUGCCUAUUGAUGGCCUCUUCAGUGUAAUGUCUGUCACGUUUGGACACAGG
rnacentral:lncRNA from 1 species